rnacentral:rRNA from 1 species
UACGUAGGUGGCGAGCGUUGUCCGGAUUUAUUGGGCGUAAAGCGCGCGCAGGUGGUGCGGUAAGUCCUGUGUGAAAUCUCCCGGCUCAACUGGGAGGGUGCGGAGGAGACUGCCGGACUGGAGGCACUCAGGGGCCGGUGGAAUUCCCGGUGUAGUGGUGAAAUGCGUAGAGGAUCGGGAAGGAACGACCAGUGCGAAGGC